GUGUCCUACGGGGGGCAGCAGUGGGGAAUAUUGCACAAUGGGGGGAACCCUGAUGCAGCAAUGCCGCGUGAAGGAUGAAGGUUUUCGGAUUGUAAACUUCUUUUGUACGGGACGAAGAAAGUGACGGUACCGUAAGAAUAAGCCACGGCUAACUACGUGCCAGCAGCCGCGGUAAUACGUAGGUGGCAAGCGUUAUCCGGAUUUACUGGGUGUAAAGGGCGAGUAGGCGGGAUGCAAGGACGGUGGUGAAACCAUGGGGUCAACCG
rnacentral:rRNA from 1 species